AUUGAACGCUGGCGGCAGGCCUAACACAUGCAAGUCGAGCGGCGCGGCGGUCGGGGGCGUGAUGCCUAGGAAUCUGCCUGGUAGUGGUGGAUAGCGUCCGGAAACGGGAGCUAAUACCGCAUACUAUCAGAUGAGGCUAGGUCGGAUUAGCUAGUUGGGGGGGUAAAGGCCAAGCAAGGCGACGAUCCGUAACUGGUCUGAGAGGAUGAUCAGUCACACUGGAACUGAGACACGGUCCAGACUCCUACGGGAGGCAGCAGUGGGGAAUAUUGGACAAUGGGCGAAAGCCUGAUCCAGCCAUGCCGCGUGUGUGGAGAAGGUCUUCGGAUUGUAAAGCACUUUAAGUUGGGAGGCGUUACCAACAGAAUAAGCACCGGCUAACUCCGUGCCAGCAGCCGCGGUAAUUC
rnacentral:rRNA from 1 species